rnacentral:rRNA from 1 species
UGAAUGGCAAGACGAAAGUUCAACUGUCUCCCUAAAUUAAUCAAUGAAAUUGAUUUUUCCGUGCAGAAGCGGAAAUAUAAUUAUAAGACGAGAAGACCCUAUGGAGCUUUAAACAUAUGAUCAUUGCGUAAUAUAACCCAAAAUGAAAUAUUUAAUAAAACAUCAUGAUCAAAAUUUUAGGUUGGGGCGACCACGGAGAAAAACAAAACCUCCGAGAUGAAGAGAAUAUCUUAAUUCAAGAAUCACAAUUCUAAAAAAUAAAAUAUUUAACAUAAUUGAUCCAAUAUAUUGAUCAACGAACCAAGUUACCCUAGGGAUAACAGCGCAAUCCUCUCCAAGAGUCCCUAUCGACGAGCGGGUUUACGACCUCGAUGUUGGAUCAGGACACCCCAAUGGUGCAGCCGCUAUUAAAGGUUCGUUUGUUCAACGAUUAAAGUCCUACGUGAUC